AUGUACGUGGGCAACCUGUCAUGGCGACUGGAUGACUCCAGGUUGGCACAACUAUUCAGCGAGCACGGCACCGUGCUCUUCGCUAAGGUCAUGCGUGACUUACAAACCGGGCGCUCAAAGGGAUUCGGCUUUGUAGCAAUGGCAUCACAUGAGGAACGCGAGGAGGCCAUCGCGGCCCUCAACGGGCAGAUCUUGGAGGGGCUUGCCCUGCGAGUGAGUGUCGCGGAGGAGCCAGACGUGACUGUAAGCAAGGCGGUUCCAGGAGACACCCGGGUGGAAAGCCCUCCUCCCCGUCAUGUUGUUGGGCCUUCAUUUCGGUUGCACGUGAACAACCUUUCAUCGAAUGUGGAUGACUCUAGGCUGGCACAAAUGUUCAGCCAGCACGGCAAAGUGGUCUAUGCUAAGAUCAUCCGUGAUUUCAAAAGUGGGCGCUCAAAGGGAUUCGGUUUCGUAGAGAUGUUGUCGCGGGGGGAAAUGGACAGCGCCAUCACAGCCCUCCAUGGACAGAGCUUGGAGGGGCGUGUCAUGCGAGUGAGUGCCGCCGAGGUGCCAGGCAUGACUGUAAGCAAGGCGGCUCCAGGGGUAGAAAGUUCCCCUCCCCGUCAUGUUGUUGGGCCUUCAUUCCGGUUGCACGUGCACAACCUGUCGUUGAACAUGGACGACUCUAGGCUGGCUCAGAUGUUCAGCCGGCACGGCAGAGUGGCCUAUGCUAAAGUUGUCCGUGAUAUCCAUAGCGAGCGCUCAAAGGGAUUCGGUUUCGUAGGAUUCGGUUUCGUAGAGAUGGCGUCACAGGAGGAUAUGGACAAUGCCAUCACAGCUCUUCAUGGACAGGUUCGGCAGAUAUCACAUAUUUGA
rnacentral:rRNA from 1 species